UUACCUGUGUGAAGAUCCAGAGACGGGUUAGUCUGAAGAAACGGCCGGAGGGGCGUGAAACAAUUGUCACUCAGUGUAUUCCUACCGCUCCGGCGUCCCACGCCGCCGUCAGCAGACUGCCGCAUCUAUAAUAAAGAAGCCGUGAUCCACCUUCCGAACUCUGUUUUCAGCAGCUGAAUGUGAUCAGGAAAGCCGAAAGCAGCCAAGUCCCUUUGUCGCUGAAAUACCCAGCCCCUAAAGGCAAUAAGUUGACAAAGUCUGCAAUAAAUAACUCUAUAGGCUCGCCCGUUGCUUCUUGCUGGCCUUCAGGCUCAGCAGGCCUUGCUCCUUUAAGGAUUGAAAGUCUUUCAGAAAGCCCUCUCAUUCUUGGAAAGAG